rnacentral:rRNA from 1 species
UACGAAGGGGGCUAGCGUUGCUCGGAAUCACUGGGCGUAAAGCGCACGUAGGCGGACUCUUAAGUCGGUGGUGAAAUCCUGGAGCUCAACUCCAGAACUGCCUUCGAUACUGAGAGUCUCGAGUCCGGGAGAGGUGAGUGGAACUGCGAGUGUAGAGGUGAAAUGCGUUGAGAUCGGAAGGAACGCCCGUGGCGAAAGCGAGCCCCUGGACGUCUACUGACGCUGAGACGCGAAAGCCAGGGGAGCGAACGGG